UACGAAGGGUGCAAGCGUUACUCGGAAUCACUGGGCGUAAAGCGUGCGUAGGUGGUUCGUUAAGUCUGAUGUGAAAGCCCUGGGCUCAACCUGGGAAUGGCAUUGGAAACUGGCGACCUAGAGUGCGGUAGAGGGUAGUGGAAUUCCCGGUGUAGCAGUGAAAUGCGCAGAUAUCAGGAGGAACACCAAUGGCGAAGGCAGCUCGCUGGGACGGUACUGACGCUGAGACGCGAAAGCGUGGGGAGCGAACAGG
rnacentral:rRNA from 1 species